GGAAAGUGGCUCAGUGGUAGAGCUCUUGCCUUGCAUGCAUGAGGCCCUGGGUUCAAUUCCUCAGUACCA
rnacentral:tRNA from 1 species